GCCUUCGUGGUGUAAUGGUCAGCACACUCGGCGCGUAUUCGAGAGAUCCGUGGUUCGAGUCCAGGCGAGGACA
rfam:Stegodyphus mimosarum contig67333, whole genome shotgun sequence.